UUAUUGGGUAUCAAAACCUAAUAGCGAAAUUAACAUAACUUAUAUGGGAUUAGUUUUUAGAUUAUUUAUAGUCUAUUAAUUCAAUCCCGGGGCGUUCUAUUUGGUUAUGUAUAAUAAUAUUUAUAUUAUUUAUACCUCUAACUAGAGCGUACCUUGAGCAUAUAUGCUGUGACCCGAAAGAUGGUGAACUAUACUUGAUCAGGUUGAAGUCAGGGGAAACCCUGAUGGAAGACCGAAACAGUUCUGACGUGCAAAUCGAUUGUCAGAAUUGAGUAUAGGGGCGAAAGACCAAUCGAACCAUCUAGUAGCUGGUUCCCUCCGAAGUUUCCCUCAGGAUAGCUGGUGCAUUUAGAAAUUAUGUAAAAUAAUCUUAUCUGGUAAAGCGAAUGAUUAGAGGCCUUAGGGUCGAAACGACCUUAACCUAUUCUCAAACUUUAAAUGGGUAAGAACCUCACCUUUCUUGGUAUGAAGGUUGUGGUUGUGAUAUAAUGUGCCCAGUGGGCCACUUUUGGUAAGCAGAACUGGCGCUGUGGGAUGAACCAAACGUAAUGUUACGGUGCCCAAAUUAACAACUCAUGCAGAUACCAUGAAAGGCGUUGGUUGCUUAAAACAGCA
rnacentral:rRNA from 2 species